rnacentral:rRNA from 1 species
GUGGGGAAUCUUGCGCAAUGGGCGAAAGCCUGACGCAGCCAUGCCGCGUGAAUGAUGAAGGUCUUAGGAUUGUAAAAUUCUUUCACCGGGGACGAUAAUGACGGUACCCGGAGAAGAAGCUCCGGCUAACUUCGUGCCAGCAGCCGCGGUAAUACGAAGGGGGCUAGCGUUGCUCGGAAUUACUGGGCGUAAAGGGCGCGUAGGCGGACAGCUUAGUCAGAGGUGAAAGCCCAGGGCUCAACCUUGGAAUUGCCUUUGAUACUGGCUGUCUUGAGUUUGGGAGAGGUGAGUGGAACUCCGAGUGUAGAGGUGAAAUUCGUAGAUAUUCGGAAGAACACCAGUGGCGAAGGCGACUCACUGGCCCAAUACUGACGCUGAGGCGCGAGAGCGUGGGGAGCAAACAGGAUUAGAUACCCGUGUAGUCC